rnacentral:rRNA from 1 species
CGCUGGCGGCGUGCCUAAUACAUGCAAGUCGAACGGUCUUUCUAUGGAAGCUUGCUUCCACUGAGAAGAUAGUGGCGAACGGGUGAGUAACACGUGGGUAACCUGCCCAUAAGAGGGGGAUAACAUCCGGAAACGGGUGCUAAUACCGCAUAGUUUUCUUGAUCGCAUGAUUGAGAAAGGAAAGACGGCCUUUGUGCUGUCGCUUAUGGAUGGACCCGCGGCGUAUUAGUUAGUUGGUGAGGUAACGGCUCACCAAGACGAUGAUACGUAGCCGACCUGAGAGGGUGAUCGGCCACAUUGGGACUGAGACACGGCCCAGACUCCUACGGGAGGCAGCAGUAGGGAAUCUUCCGCAAUGGACGAAAGUCUGACGGAGCAACGCCGCGUGAGUGAAGAAAGGUUUUCGGAUCGUAAAACUCUGUUGUCAGAGAAGAACAAGUUGGAGAGUAACUGCUCCAGCCUUGACGGUAUCUGACCAGAAAGCCACGGCUAACUACGUGCCAGCAGCCGC